rnacentral:rRNA from 1 species
AUUGAACGCUGGCGGCAGGCCUAACACAUGCAAGUCGAGCGGAUGAAGGGAGCUUGCUCCUGGAUUCAGCGGCGGACGGGUGAGUAAUGCCUAGGAAUCUGCCUGGUAGUGGGAGAUAACGUCCGGAAACGGGCGCUAAUACCGCAUACGACCAGAGGGAGAAAGUGGGGGAUCUUCGGACCUCACGCUAUCAGAUGAGCCUAGGUCGGAUUAGCUAGUUGGUGGGGUAAAGGCCUACCAAGGCGACGAUCCGUAACUGGUUUGAGAGGAUGACCAGUCACACUGGCACUGAGACACGGUCCAGACUCCUACGGGAGGCCGCAGUGGGGAAUAUUGGGCAAUGGACGAAAGCCUGAUCCAGCCAUGCCGCGUGUGUGAAGAAGGUCUUCGGAUUGUAAAGCACUUUAAGUUGGGAGGAAGGGCAGUAAGUUAAUACCUUGCUAUUUUGACGUUACCAACAGAAUAAGCACCGGCUAACUUCGUG